CCGCCCGCGCCGCUCACAUCCCGCGCUACCGCGCCCCGCCCGACACCGACACCGACCGAGCCCCGCCGCGACCCUCCCGGGCUCCGAGCCCGCGGACCCCGGGACCCCGGUGGGGAGAGCGCUGCGGGACCCCCGCGCUACCCCCGGCCCGCGCCCGCCCGGCCCGCGCCGCGCCCGCCCCGCGCUGCCAUCGCCGAGCGCUCCGCCGGGCGCGCCCCGGCCGCGGGCAGCGAGCGGCGGCGGCAGCAGGAGGCUGAGGAGGAGGAGGAGGAGGAAGAGCGGGACGAAGCUUCCCGAGGCGCCGGUCCCGGCCGCUCGGCGCUCGGGAGGCGGAGGGAGCGAUGCCGGGCGCCGAUCGCGCUGCCGCUUUCCCGGAGUAGCCCCCCGCUCCUCCUCCUCCUCCUUCUCCUCCUCCUCCUCCUCCGCCCCCCGUUAUCCCCCGGCUGCCGCCGGCCCCGGCCCCCCCGCUGCCUCCUCCCUCCUCCGGCAGGAGUUUGUUUUUCUGCUGUUCAGCAGCCCCGGGGGAGAACAUAAUAUCAAGAAAAGCCGGGGCUAAGGGAGGGGAGGCUUGCGGCGGGCUCCGUGUGGCCGCUGCUCUCUGGGGAGGGGGGGAUGCUUUCGGAGGGGGCUCCGGGCUCUCUGCUCUCCCCGGCGAAGCUGCUCCCCGCGCCUCGGCUCCAUGGAACGAAUGGGAAAGGGAGAAACGCGUUCCGGGAAGCAUCGCCCCCGCCCCUCGCUGCCCCUCACCCCGAGCCCGCGGAGCCCUCCGGGGUCAGGGGCUCCUCCUUCCCCGAUCGGACACCGAAAAAGCCCCUUUCCCUUAGCAGCCUGUGCGACGGGAAUAACUCGGGAUGUGGAUUGGCAUCUCCUCGGGAUUGCUGAGCUCGGAUCUCUGCUAGCGGCUGCCGUUACCUUCAUUUUGCUUUCAAACAGAACCGAGAAACAUUCCUCUAAUUGUGUCCAAUUAAGCUCAGCAAAUCCUUCCCAACAGCCCAUCCCCGGCCGUGACCUUUGGGAACAGAGUGGGAAGAGGCCGGCAGCUCCCGAUCCAUUCCAGCGGCAUCUCUGGCAGCUCCAGCGAGCCUCUGCUGCCUGGAUCCCGACUCGUUUUUCCCUGCCGCCUGUUGAAAGCAGUGGGAGUUUUUCCCCUUGGCUCUCUCUCAGGAUAAUCAGCAUCCCGAGUGCUUCCCCACCAGGUGGGCCGGGGCUGCUUUAGCCACGAUUUAUUGCCACAAACCCAGGGAAAUAAAAGGUGCCCGACUAUAAACAUCCUCCGGGUUGCCUCCCUCUCCAUGCUCAUCCCAGUGGGGAAAGCCCAGCCCAGCCCUGCACUGACCUCGCUUUCAGCUCUCUCUUCUCCAAAAGGUUUUUCACUCUUUUUUGCCUUUUGGCGGGGGCAGGUGCAGCCUGGCAAAAGGGGUUUGUGAAGGAAAGAGCAGUAGGUGUGCAUGGGAAGUGGCUUUUUCCUUGAAUCUACUCCAAAUGAUCCACUCGUAUCUGAUUUAUUACAGGGAAGCAAUUUUUUGUAAUUAGCUGGCAAUGACUGAUGGCAAAGGGCAGUGGGAUGGCCAAGGCCAGCUGGACCUGGAAUCCAAAAGGUUCCCCAUGAAAACCAAAGUCAAAGCCAACCCAAACCUGAGGAGGAAAUUCCAAGGUAUCACCGGGUGGGACAUUGCCCUAGCCUUUGGAAAUUCUCUCCGUGUUCUCAGUGAUUUGGGAAAGCAGCUCCUUCCCUGCAGCCGAGCCCUGGGUAAUUCCUCAGGCAGCCACAGCAGCUUAAAAGCUGAUUGGACCUAAUUAAGUCAAAUAAGAAAUAAUAGAGCUGAUCCAGAAAUAUUGCUAAUUAACCAACAACUCACUUGAAAAUUACCCUUUGAGCUGGGUGAGUUCUCUCCUUUGGAGGAGAAUGGAUUUGGGAUUCUGUAGUUUGGGAUACUUGACAAAUUCAGUGAAUUAUUGUGGGGGAAUUCCACCAUUCCCUCCCCAAAACAUCCCCUGUGUGCCCCUGAAAGGGGACAGGAAGACAACUAUUUGGAAGUUGUUCCAAACAAAAAUUUGGCUUCUUUUGAAAUUUCAUUUUCACUUCAAACAUCGACCUAGGUGAAGACAAAAAGGAUUAAAGAAAAGCUUGAAAUCCUCUGGAAA